GCCUGGUUAGCUCAAAUGGUAGAGCGGCUGCCCCAAAAAGGCAGUGGUCCCGGGUUCGAGCCCCGGACCAGAACG
rnacentral:tRNA from 1 species